rnacentral:lncRNA from 1 species
AAGCCCAUUCUCAGAAGGACUGUUCAGUGUGGCUGACCUUCACUCAGCAGGGUCUGUGACUCCCAGGUGUGAAGCCACUGGCGGAGUAUCCAGGGGCCGAGGGCUGAUGCAUUUCUCCUCAUCCACCUCACUCUGACCCCGGAUGCCAGUUAACCCAGGAGAGGUCCCUGAACACAACCCCGAUGCAAGCAAAGGUGGUGGACAAUACGGAGGAGGAUGAAGAGGCAUGGUCCACCACAACAGGUUGCCCAGAGAGGCUGUAGAGAGUUUAAAAGGAAGGAGUGAGAGGGAUCACCAGACCAUGAAGCAUCCCCUGUGGGAGGAAGGAGGAGCUCAAGGUCAGGAGAGCACUGUUCCCUGGGAGGCAUGGAAAUUAAGGCUCAAGAAGGUGACUUGCCCAAGACUUCAUAGCCCACAACUGCUGGAGGUGGGAUUUGAACUCGUCUGCGAGGUUCGAAAUCACCCCAGCCCAGUGCCUGCUCCUGACAGAGACUCAGCAAGUGCAGCUCUGCGUGUUUCCUCCAUCACAGAGGCCUGCUUAGGGGAAAAAUCUUGCUGAAGAAAAGUGGCCGAUGGUUUCGAGAGAAGAGACGCUUAUUCAUGUAAUUCUCAAGAAUCCCAUCUCCGGCUUAGAAGGACACCUUUUCUGAUUUCCCAUUCAAAGGGACUGACGUACACUCAGGGGCUGAGGCAGCAGCUGUUUUUGCUGUGCACAGACUGGAGAGCGAUGUGUGAGUGAAGUCUGUGGCCACUUCUCUCCUCCCCCGAGCCUUCUGGGGUUUGGGUUUAUGACUCCAGAGGCGGAGAAGCGUGUUCCCUUUCUGUGCGGAUCCCGUCAUUGACAGAGUCUGUUUUAGAAGAGCAUUUUUAGAUGGCAGCGAACGUUCCAGACCCCAAAGCAUUCUCUUUACAGCACCGUCUAGCUUGGGUGGGGAUAGGGUGGGUUUGUGAACACGUGUGUGCGUGAGAGUGUGAGUGUGUGCAAGUGUGUGCACGUGUGUGUCAGUCCCUCUGUCUGGCUCCCACUGCUAGCCACCUCUGUCAUAUCCUGACUAUUUCGCCGGGGCAUCGUCCAGCCAUAGGAAUCUUCAGCAAACCUACAGUUCAGACGAACGCCCUCGUUUCUGCCCUGAGAAGAAAGUCCGUUGAGUCUGAGGGCUCCCGAGUCAUUCUCUCAAGGCAUUCAUUCAGUUUUGUUUCCCCUGGUGCUACCCUCUCUGAAGUCGUUAUUACUCAUUAGGUGUAUUGCACAUACAGAAAAAGUAGGUCAAGGAUUAAAAAAAAAAAGAAAAAACAUCUCUGGGAGAAGCACAAGUAUUGUGUAAAGCUAUUUUGAACUUGCGUGAGAUUUUUCAAGGGGGAAAUGUUUUGUGCAGAGACGGCUGCUGCCACAGCUGACUUACCAAUGAAUGCCCGUGUCUGAGCCUUUCAUACGCUAACCACGUGACCUUGGAAUUCCAUUUUGAAAUGAUAAUUGUGCCCAGUGGGGUGAGCAGCCUCUCAAUCCAGGUUCUAUACAAUAUAGGUCACCUCGAGGAUCCUCAGUAGAACAGGAACAAGAGAAUCCUGAGAAAUCUCUGUAAAGAAACAGAAAGAAUGAGAGAGAAAACUGUGUGUCUAACCACCGGGCCCCUGGGCCCUAUGUGCCACCCAGGUUUGGAGCAAGGCUGCGGGGCAGAUGAUGUCCAGGAGAGCCUCAGAAAGUCCGGGCUCUAGAAAAAAAUACGUUCCAGCUCACUCUGCUCUGACCCUGCAUCUGCUCUGUGCUGAAAGCUUUGUUGCUGCCAUGAAUAUAUUUAA